GAUGAACGCUGGCGGCGUGCCUAAUACAUGCAAGUCGAGCGAACAGACGAGGAGCUUGCUCCUCUGACGUUAGCGGCGGACGGGUGAGUAACACGUGGAUAACCUACCUAUAAGACUGGGAUAACUUCGGGAAACCGGAGCUAAUACCGGAUAAUAUAUUGAACCGCAUGGUUCAAUAGUGAAAGACGGUUUUGCUGUCACUUAUAGAUGGAUCCGCGCCGCAUUAGCUAGUUGGUAAGGUAACGGCUUACCAAGGCAACGAUGCGUAGCCGACCUGAGAGGGUGAUCGGCCACACUGGAAGUGAAACGCGGUCCGGAGGCCUACGGGAGGCAGCAGUAGGGAAUGUUCGGCAAUGGGGGGAAGCCUGACGGAGCAGCGGCGCGUGAGUGAUAAAGGUCUUCGGAUCGUAAAACUCGGUUAUUAGGGAAGAACAAAUGUGGAAGUAACUGUGGACGUAUUGACGGUACCGGGUCAGAAAGCCACGGCUAACUACGUG
rnacentral:rRNA from 1 species